AAAGACAGGUUAGGAUCACAACAGUCAUUAAAGUGAUUGUAGUGAAAGGGUGAAAGGGAUGUGAAAUUUAUCCGAAAUUUCAGAAUUUAAGUUUAAUCAUGUGUAGCGUGAGCGUCAACUCUUGACGUGCUAACUUAGUGUUGCAUUAAAAUUUGCAUAGUUUUUUGUGUGUUCUUGGUGUUUCGGUGCAAAGUGCAACGGUGUAAACAAAGGCAUUCAAGACUGAAACAAAACUAACCUGUGACUUCAGCGUCCAGAGGCUCCAAGGAAGAGAAUAUUUUGGAAUGCGAUAUGCUUGCUACCGAUGCGGAAGGUCAUAUGGCAAAUCCUAUACUUUAAGUCGACAUCUUCGCUACGAAUGCGGACAAAAUCGGCAAUUUGUUUGCACCUAUUGUCAGAAAACUUUUAAAAGGAAAUCACAUUUCCAACAGCAUAGUAUUAAAAUCCAUGGAUUGCACGUGUAAAACAAAAAUAUAAAAAUAAAAUUCCAAACUAAAAAUCAAUUGCUGAAGACGUUGAAUGUUUCUUAAAAAUGUUCAGAAUUUAUUAUACAAAGAAUCUUUUUGCGCAUUGUAACUUGUAUCUGCGUCCAUCAUCGAAAAUUAUUUUCAAUAAUACAUAAAAAUUACAACUUGAUUAAUUGAAUUUAAAAUAAGAAAUUAUUUCCCUGCCUUUCUUCCCUUCUUAAAAAUUCAAAUUUUCUUCAUAAAAAAUCUUGGCUUAACAGUAGAGUAAAUCACGAGUAUCCUUUUCAAUGUUACAAAUGUGGGAAAUUGUACACCUGGUAUGACUCUUUGAGAAGACAUUUGAGAGAAGGAUGUGGCGAAGAACCAAAAUUCACUUGCUCUAUUUGUGGAAGAAGAUUUAAGAGAAAAGAUUACAUGACUUAUCACGAAGCAACAAUCCACAAGAUAAUUUAUCCGAAGAAUCUUUAAACCUUUUAAAUAAUUUUAGAGAUGUCUCAAUGGCCCUCUGUUUACUAAUUACGACAAUUUAAUUUAUCCUUGUGUAAUUCAAGCACAUUAGUGAAUCAUUUUUAUAGCUUUUCAAUUAAUUUUCUUCAUAUAUUUUUAUUUUUCCAUAUAGUUUCCAAGAUAAAAUAGUUCCAGAAUUUUAAAAUUUUAGGCUUAUGUUAGAUUUAUUAAUUGUAAUUGAUUCUACGAAUUAAAAUUGAAAAAUUUCUGUUCUAAACGGUAGGAAAUGAAAUAUUCCAAAUUGAUAGAUACCGACUUGAAAAUUCAUUGAUUUUAAAUUGUAAAAAGUUCCAAAUUUACAACACUAUCACCGGAAAUUAUCUUCACGCCUGGUUUUUGAGCUGCUGGUAAAGUUCCUUAAAUUUGUACAAUAUUAAAAUGAUUUUUUGUUUAAUUAUAUUGCAAAAAGUAAUAAAUAUUGGCUUCUAAUAGCAACACGUUAAAGGAAAAAUGUCAAUUUUAUUUUAAAAAAUAUUGCAAAAACAACCAAUUGGAAUGUUUUGGAAAAAUUGGAAUAACUCUGGAAAUAAUAAACAUUUUUUUAAGCUCUUUAUCUGAUUUUAAAAGAAAGUCCAUAGUAUUUUGUUAAUUUCUUAAAGUAUUAUGUAAUUUUCUCCAUCUAGAUUCUGCCCUGGGGUCAAACUUGGUGCAAAAAAUUGCAAAAUUUCAAAAAGGGGUAAAUGCUCACAAAAAUUUUUUAAAAUUGCAUUUCAAUAAAUUCGAAUCAAAUGUAUGAAAGUAUGAUUGGUUUGACUUUUUUGAUAUUAUGUGGCGAAUAAAAUUAUUAGAAAUUUUGCAACUUUUUAAAAUUAAAUUCGACUGUAAUCUAGGGGGGAAAUACGAUAAAGAUAUUAAUAAGUUAAAAAAAUACUAUAGAUGUACACCUUUGAAAUUAGCUUGAAAACUAUAUAAAAAUGUUCAUAAUUUCCAGCGUUAUGCCAACUUUUCGAAAAAAUGUAAAUUUGACAUCUUUUUGCAAUAUCUUUUUAUGAAAUUGACGUUUUACUUUUAUUUUGUGCUUACUAAACGUAGAAUUUGAUUAACUUGUGUGCUAUUAUGUUAAAAAGAAUCAUGGUAAUAUUAUUUUUUAAUUAAUUAGAAAAUUUUCCAAUUAAAUUAUUUAAGAUUUGCACCAUUGUUAUAUAAAUGUCUUAAUAAGCCGAUUACACUGUUUUUUGGAAAUCUACUUUCCUUAAUAUUGAAGUCUUUUUGUGCAAUAUUGUAAUACAAAUUGACUUUUUGAGUGUAUGUUUUUGAAAAACUGAUUUCUGGACACAUACAUACUUCUCUUUAAGGAUUUUGUACAAUCCUGUCACACAAUUUGCCUUUCUGUGUGUUAAAAAAAUUAUUUUCUAAACGUUUCAAAAUUUUACAAUUUCAAAUCGAAAGCUUUGAUA